GAGGGUAUAGCUCAGUGGUAGAGCACAUGCUUAGCAUGCAUGAGGUCCUGGGUUCAAUCCCUAGUACCUCCU
rnacentral:tRNA from 1 species